UGGCAGCCUCCAACCAUCCCUGAAAUGCCUUUUUGAGUGUCUCUUUCAGAAGCUCAUACAUCAGGAUGUCAAAGCUCUGACUUAGUAAUUUUAACUUUUGAAAUCUCUCAUCAUGAGCGAAUCUACACUGCACUCAAUUUCUUGCCCUGCUCUGGAACGCUGCCAUCCCUGAACUACUUUCCUUAAGGACUGAUGGGCUAAACAGUCUUAACACCUGGCUGGCACCAUCCCUUUGGAAGACUCCGGCAGACCCCCAUGUCCUACGGUUCAACUUUUUCAAACCUACCUCUUUGUAAUUCCUGAGUAGGAUUCUGAGCUCUGUGGUCAUAGUCCAGUUUUACAGUUACUCCGAAAUAUUUUGAGCCAACUAUGCCCUUAGUGUCAUGCUUUAUUCAUGUGAUACGACUCAUAUUAGCGACUGCUUGCUUUUGAGCCAGAGGCCCUGAAUAAGUUAUCGGGUUUCAUUGUUUACCCUUAAUUUAAAAAAAAAAUUCCAUACGCUCUGACCUCAUGACACCUAAACCUUGCUCAUGCAGUUAAAACAGGAAAACCAGUUAUCUGAUAUCAUGAAGGCAAAUCAGCUGGUAGAAGCACUCAAAUGUUUCCAUUUCCCCUGGAGUGAGGGCAUUGUGGGAGUCAUGGAUUCUUAAUCAGGAAAGCACAGGAGAGAAUUUCUUUUCUGUUUGUUUGUUAAUUUCCAAAAUAAACCCAAUAGAAAGAGAUGCAGCUAGGAUGAAUUUAUUUUUCGUUGUUAGCACAGUUCAUUAUGUCACCCUAGAUGAACUGCCCAAAGAAAUAGAAAAAAAAAAUUACCGCAAGGAUUGCUUAAUGGCCCUCCUCCUGCCUGCCUGAGGAGUUGUCUGAGAAAGGAAAAUACAUGAGCGUUCGUCAGGCCCUCGGGAUGGGGAGGCUUCCACCGUGAGCAGUGCCAGGUUAGCCUGGGUGACUGUGGAGCAGGCGUUGGCAGGCCACCAGCGAGAGGGCGUUUCAUGCUCCAGGAUUUACCUCAGAGGAUUCGGAGCCAACAAGACUCUGCUGGGAGUCAAGGGCUAGCGUCCAGUGAGAGGA